AAUCAACGCUGGCGGCGUGCCUCAGACAUGCAAGUCGAACGAGAAAGUUUCCUUCGGGAGACGAGUACAGUGGCGUCCGGGUGAGUAACACGUGGGUAAUUUACCUUUGGGUGGGGAAUAGCAGCCGGAAACGGCUAUUAAUACCGCAUAAUGCAGCGGCUCGACAUCGAGACAGUUGUUAAAGCGGGGAUCUGACAAGGACCUCGCGCCUAAAGAGAAGCCUGCGUCAGAUUAGCUAGUUGGUAGGGUAAUGGCCUACCAAGGCUGUGAUCUGUAGCCGGCCUGAGAGGGCGGUCGGCCACACUGACACUGACACACGGGUCAGACUCCUACGGGAGGCAGCAGUCGGGAAUUUUGGGCAAUGGGCGCAAGCCUGACCCAGCAACGCCGCGUGAAGGAUGAAAUCCCUCGGAU
rnacentral:rRNA from 1 species